rnacentral:pre_miRNA from 1 species
AGAACAUACAUUCAUUAUCCCUAGGGCCAUAGGAUAAACAAAUACCCUACAAAACCAAGUUAGCACACCCUAGAAUGGUUUUAACACGAUUACUAACCUAUGGUUGAUAGAAAAAUCUC